CUAAGGUAGCGUAAUAGAUCGUCCUUUAAUUGGGGAAAGGUAUGAAUGGUUGGAUGAUGGAAAGACUUUAUUAGAGGUAUGUUUUGAAAUUUACUUCUAGGUGCAAAGGCUUAGAUAUUAAUACUAGACGAGAAGACCCUGUUGAGCUUGGUAAUUGCCUCUAUUAUGUAGAGGUAAUAUGUUUUCUCGGGGCCGAGUGGAAGGGAUUUGAUUUCUUCCUAAUUUAAUCAUUGAUCCAGCAUGGCUGAUAGGAGGAAGAUAGUUACCACAGGGAUAACAGCGCAAUCUCUCUGGCGAGGCCAUAUUUGAGGAGGGGGUUGC
rnacentral:rRNA from 1 species